UAUUCUUGAAUAAAACUUAUGUCUUAAAUCCAUACAUUUGUUUCUAUUUCAUGCUGUAUGACGAAUGGAAUUUGCUGCUUUGCUUCACUGGGUCUAAAUAAUUUGAAUUUCUUGGCUUGCCUGUAAACUAUACUGCUCUACCCCAAGGAGGGGUAAGAAGGGGUCACUUUAUUGGAUGCCUGAGGGGACCAAGCAUAUAUACAUAUAAGAUAAAUUAUAGUUUGACAUUUCUUUUUUUCUUUGGAGGGGGAGGGGGGUAAUGCAUUGGAACAAAUUAGAUUUAUUUGCUUCAUCUGCAGGAUGCAGCAGUUUUCAAGAUACUAUGAGUUGUAUAACUGUUCAAAUUAUUUCACUCAUAUAACUGGUUAGUCAUUUAAUUUCCCUAUGUGUUUCUCCUGCAGCUUGAAUAUUUUGAGUCCAUA
rnacentral:misc_RNA from 1 species